AGAUGCAAUUUGAGCGCGUCGAUCGUCGAUGAUCGUCACAACUAUAUGGCGGUCGAAUGGACUCGUCCAAUAUGGCUGCCGCUAUGCGAGCGGCGAUCGUUGACACGUAAUAACAACGACGACGACACGUCGACGAUGACGACGAGGCAACAGCAACAAGGCCACACCACCGAAUAAUAAUAAUUGACAUUUUACACGUGUUUUUUUACGUUAAAAUUUGAUACGAUUGAAAAUAAAACGAAUAAGUAUUUUGAUUGAGUAAAAAUUAACGGUUCCAACAGUAAGGGAUCAGUCUGAAAGAGAACACCGUACAAUUCGACGACGACGCAGCAACAACAAUGGCGACCGUGAAUUGGUGCGUCACUCUUGUAUGUGUGUAAUGCGCUCGCUCGCUCGCGCGCAUCCACCCGCUUCUAGUUUGUUCUUCGCGACUCGUGUAUGUCUCUUUCAUCGGUGUGGGUGUAUACCGGCCACCUCCUCGCCUCGUGGUUUUUCUCUUUCUUUCUUUUCUUUUUUUUUUCUUUUUCUUUUUCUCUUUCUCUUUUUUACCGUUCUCGAUAUAAUUGAUUUAUAUAAUACUACGCGACCGCACCGAAACGCAUACGUACAAAAAAAAUGAUUAAACAAGAAAAAAAGUAAUAUGUAAAAUCGAAAAGACUUAUUUAUAAUAGAUCGAUAAGAAAGAUGUUUUCAAAAAGAAGAUUAAAAGUUUUUGAAGUUCACGACAUGGACUACGACGUGAAACGCGACGAUGGUUGGGUCGCAGGAGCGGACACUGUUAUGGUUAGCUGGUUCGAAAAGAAGGGCUGUAUUACGUAUUCCAUUCUGUCUAACAUGACAUACAAAUACUCUCCAAGUUGUAACACUCUAACCAUAUCGCGGGAAUUAUAAGACAUAAUUUCAAACUAUUUGAACGGUAUCUUGUUUUUUGAACUAUCGCUGCAAUUAAAUGAAAUAAAAACAAAAGAAAAUAUUAUAUACUAUUAACAUAAAUAACAUUGUUACAAAAUAUGUUACUAAUUUUAAUAGAUAUAUUUUAAAUAAUUAAUUUACCAAAAAAAAAUGUAGGAACGUUUGACGUGAUUUUUGUACUAUAUUUGUUAAGGUUAAUAAAUAAAUAUUUUUAAAACAUA